GUCAUAUGCUUGUCUCAAAGAUUAAGCCAUGCAUGUCUCAGUACAAGCCAAAUUAAGGUGAAACCGCGAAAGGCUCAUUAAAUCAGUUAUGGUUCCUUAGAUCGUACCCACAAUUACUUGGAUAACUGUGGUAAUUCUAGAGCUAAUACAUGCAAACAGAGCUCCGACCGGAGACGGGAGGAGUGCUUUUAUUAGAUCAAAACCAAUCGGUGGCGGGUUCAACGCU
rnacentral:rRNA from 1 species